rnacentral:lncRNA from 1 species
GCCAGAGGGAGGGGAGGGCUUUUGUUCUGAAGGGUUCUCGUGAGACUGAAGGGUCUGCUGGCUCACAUUCCCCGUGCUUGGUUUUUCAUCCUUUCUUGUUCUUCUCUUCCCUCACCCCGACCUACCCUAUCCUCAUGGAGUUCCCCCUUUGUCAGUUCCAGCCCUGUCCCCUCUGCCUCCCAGCCCCUUCUCCCAAAGAGCUGGAGAGGUGGCUGUACCAGGUGUCAGCCUCUAACUUCUGCACCUAAAGAUCCUGGUAAAAAAUUCUGCUCCUUGCAGCCUAGUCCCCAGCCCCUUUAGUCCCACACACACUCUGGGGGUCUGUGGAGCAGGGGUCCAGGACUUGGCUCUACACUCCCUGCCAGCAUUACGGUGUAGCCAUUUGGGUGAAGACAUGCUUCGUUCUGAGUGUCCUUCCCAUGGCUGGGAUUGGUACUUAAGGCUUCCUUCCGGCUGCCAAAGACCAG